rnacentral:misc_RNA from 1 species
GAAAUGCGAUAAGUAAUGUGAAUUGCAGAAUUCAGUGAAUCAUCGAAUCUUUGAACGCACAUUGCGCCCGCCAGUAUUCUGGCGGGCAUGCCUGUUCGAGCGUCAUUACAACCCUCAGGCCCCCGUGCCUGGCGUUGGGGAUCGGCGGAAGCCCCCUGCGGGCACAACGCCGUCCCCCAAUACAGUGGCGGUCCCGCCGCAGCUUCCAUUGCGUAGUAGCUAACACCUCGCAACUGUAGAGCGGCGCGGCCACGCCGUAAAACACCCAACUUCUGAAUGUUGACCUCGAAUCAGGUAGGAAUACCCGCUGAACUUAAGC